GACGAACGCUGGCGGCGUGCUUAACACAUGCAAGUCGAACGAUGAACCCGGAGCUUGCUCCGGUGGAUUAGUGGCGAACGGGUGAGUAACACGUGAGUAACCUGCCCUUGACUCUGGGAUAACUGCGGGAAACUGUAGCUAAUACCGGAUACGACCCUCGGCGGCAUCGCCAGGGGGUGGAAAGAAUUUCGGUCAAGGAUGGACUCGCGGCCUAUCAGCUAGUUGGUGAGGUAACGGCUCACCAAGGGGACGACGGGUAGCCGGACUGAGAGGGGGACCGGCGACACUGGGACUGGGCCACGGACCAGACGCCGACGGGAGGCAGCAGUGGGGAAUAUUGCACAAUGGGCGCAAGACUGUUGCAGCCACGCCGCGUGCGGGAUGACUGCCUUCGGGUUGCAAACCUCUUUUAGUAGAGAAGAAGCGAAAGUGACGGUACCUGCAGAAAAAGCACCAGCUAACUACGUGCCAGCCGCCGCCGUAA
rnacentral:rRNA from 1 species